GAUGAACGCUGGCGGCGUGCCUAAUACAUGCAAGUCGAGCGAAUGGAUUAAGAGCUUGCUCUUAUGAAGUUAGCGGCGGACGGGUGAGUAACACGUGGGUAACCUGCCCAUAAGACUGGGAUAACUCCGGGAAACCGGGGCUAAUACCGGAUAACAUUUUAAACCGCAUGGUUCGAAAUUGAAAGGCGGCAUCGGCUGACAAUUAUGGCUGGACCCGCGUCGCAUUAGCGAGUUGGUGAGGUAACGGCCCACCAAGGCAACGAUGCGUAGCCGACCUGAGAGGGUGAGCGGCCACACUGGGACUGAGACACGGCCCAGACUCCUACGGGAGGCAGCAGUAGGGAAUCUUCCGCAAUGGACGAAAGUCUGACGGAGCAACGCCGCGUGAGUGAUGAAGGCUUUCGGGUCGUAAAACUCUGUUGUUAGGGAAGAACAAGUGCUAGUUGAAUAAGCUGGCACCUUGACGGUACCUAACCAGAAAGCCACGGCUAACUACGUGCCAGCAGCCGCCGUAA
rnacentral:rRNA from 1 species